rnacentral:rRNA from 1 species
UUCCCUAGUAACUGCGAGUGAAGAGGGAAAAGCUCAAAUUUAAAAUCUGGCAGCUUCGCUGUCCGAGUUGUAAUUUAGAGAAGUGUUACCCGUGUUGGACCGUGUAUAAGUCUCCUGGAAUGGAGCGUCAUAGAGGGUGAGAAUCCCGUCUUUGACACGGACUACCAAUGCAUUGUGGUGCGCUCUCGAAGAGUCGAGUUGUUUGGGAAUGCAGCUCUAAAUGGGUGGUAAAUUCCAUCUAAAGCUAAAUAUUGGCGAGAGACCGAUAGCGAACAAGUACCGUGAGGGAAAGAUGAAAAGAACUUUGGAAAGAGAGUUAAACAGUACGUGAAAUUGCUGAAAGGGAAACGCUUGAAGUCAGUCGCGUUGGCCGGGGAUCAGCCUUGCUUUUGUGAGGUGUACUUCCUGGUUGACGGGUCAGCAUCAGUUUCGACCAUUGGAAAAAGACUUGGGGAAUGUGGCAACUUCGGUUGUGUUAUAGCCCUUUGUCGUAUACAGUGAUUGGGACUGAGGAACUCAGCACGCCGCAAGGCCGGGUUUCGACCACGUUCGUGCUUAGGAUGCUGGCAAAAUGGCUUUAAUCGACCCGUCUUGAAACACGGACCAAGGAGUCUAACAUGCUUGCGAGUGUUUGGGUGGAAAACCCGAGCGCGUAAUGAAAGUGAAAGUUGGGAUCUCUGUCGUGGAGAGCACCGACGCCCGGACCAGAAGUUUACUGACGGAUCUGCGGUAGAGCACGUAUGUUGGGACCCGAAAGAUGGUGAACUAUGCCUGAAUAGGGUGAAGCCAGAGGAAACUCUGGUGGAGGCUCGUAGCGAUUCUGACGUG